GCACCCGCACAAGUGGUGGAGCAUGCUGUUUAAUUCGAAAUACGCGAAGAACCUUACCAGGGCUUGACAUAACACUGAAAGACUUGGAAACAAGUCCCUAUCUUCGGAUACAGUGCUACAGGUGGUGCAUGGUUGUCGUCAGCUCGUGUCGUGAGAUGUUCGGUUAAGUCCGAUAACGAGCGCAACCCUUGUCCUUAAUUGCUAACAUUAAGUUGAGAACCUUAAGGAGACUGCCGGUGACAAAUCGGAGGAAGGUGAGGAUGACGUCAAAUCAUCAUGCCCCUUACGUCCUGGGCUACAGGCGUGCUACAAUGGCAGAUAUAAAAAGUCGCAAUACCGUAAGGUGGAGCUAAUCUUUAAAGUCUGUCUCAGUCCGGAUUGAGGUCUGCAACUCGACCUCAUGAAGUUGGAAUCACUAGUAAUCGCAGAUCAGAAUGCU
rnacentral:rRNA from 1 species